rnacentral:rRNA from 1 species
AUGCUGGAGGUAUCAGAAGUGCGAAUGCUGACAUAAGUAACGAUAAAGCGGGUGAAAAGCCCGCUCGCCGGAAGACCAAGGGUUCCUGUCCAACGUUAAUCGGGGCAGGGUGAGUCGACCCCUAAGGCGAGGCCGAAAGGCGUAGUCGAUGGGAAACAGGUUAAUAUUCCUGUACUUGGUGUUACUGCGAAGGGGGGACGGAGAAGGCUAUGUUGGCCGGGCGACGGUUGUCCCGGUUUAAGCGUGUAGGCUGGUUUUCCAGGCAAAUCCGGAAAAUCAAGGCUGAGGCGUGAUGACGAGGCACUACGGUGCUGAAGCAACAAAUGCCCUGCUUCCAGGAAAAGCCUCUAAGCAUCAGGUAACAUCAAAUCGUACCCCAAACCGACACAGGUGGUCAGGUAGAGAAUACCAAGGCGCUUGAGAGAACUCGGGUGAAGGAACUAGGCAAAAUGGUGCCGUAACUUCGGGAGAAGGCACGCUGAUAUGUAGGUGAAGCGACUUGCUCGUGGAGCUGAAAUCAGUCGAAGAUACCAGCUGGCUGCAACUGUUUAUUAAAAACACAGCACUGUGCAAACACGAAAGUGGACGUAUACGGUGUGACGCCUGCCCGGUGCCGGAAGGUUAAUUGAUGGGGUCAGCGCAAGCGAAGCUCUUGAUCGAAGCCCCGGUAAACGGCGGCCGUAACUAUAACGGUCCUAAGGUAGCGAAAUUCCUUGUCGGGUAAGUUCCGACCUGCACGAAUGGCGUAAUGAUGGCCAGGCUGUCUCCACCCGAGACUCAGUGAAAUUGAACUCGCUGUGAAGAUGCAGUGUACCCGCGGCAAGACGGAAAGACCCCGUGAACCUUUACUAUAGCUUGACACUGAACAUUGAGCCUUGAUGUGUAGGAUAGGUGGGAGGCUUUGAAGUGUGGACGCCAGUCUGCAUGGAGCCGACCUUGAAAUACCACCCUUUAAUGUUUGAUGUUCUAACGUGGACCCGUAAUCCGGGUUGCGGACAGUGUCUGGUGGGUAGUUUGACUGGGGCGGUCUCCUCCUAAAGAGUAACGGAGGAGCACGAAGGUUGGCUAAUCCUGGUCGGACAUCAGGAGGUUAGUGCAAUGGCAUAAGCCAGCUUGACUGCGAGCGUGACGGCGCGAGCAGGUGCGAAAGCAGGUCAUAGUGAUCCGGUGGUUCUGAAUGGAAGGGCCAUCGCUCAACGGAUAAAAGGUACUCCGGGGAUAACAGGCUGAUACCGCCCAAGAGUUCAUAUCGACGGCGGUGUUUGGCACCUCGAUGUCGGCUCAUCACAUCCUGGGGCUGAAGUAGGUCCCAAGGGUAUGGCUGUUCGCCAUUUAAAGUGGUACGCGAGCUGGGUUUAGAACGUCGUGAGACAGUUCGGUCCCUAUCUGCCGUGGGCGCUGGAGAACUGAGGGGGGCUGCUCCUAGUACGAGAGGACCGGAGUGGACGCAUCACUGGUGUUCGGGUUGUCAUGCCAAUGGCACUGCCCGGUAGCUAAAUGCGGAAGAGAUAAGUGCUGAAAGCAUCUAAGCACGAAACUUGCCCCGAGAUGAGUUCUCCCUGACUCCUUGAGAGUCCUGAAGGAACGUUGAAGACGACGACGUUGAUAGGCCGGGUGUGUAAGCGCAGCGAUGCGUUGAGCUAACCGGUACUAAUGAACCGUGAGGCUUAACCUUACAACGCCGAAGGUGUUU